AUGGCCGGCGCCGUAGCCAUUCACCAGCAGCCAUCGGGGAUGAGCACAAACCCGAUCUGGACCUCCAUCUUUCCCCUGCUUCAACUCCACCACCACGGCGACCAUAGAAGCAGGAGAGGAAGCGGAGCACCUCCAGAACAGGGAACCAGGCGAGCUUAUUGGUGGAGUAGCCGACGAUGCGCUCGACGGCAGCGACUGACCUCCAGUCAGCACCACCAUGAAGACCACCGCCGUAAGCCACCGGCCGCUACUCGCCCACGGCGGCGGCGCUAUCCACAUCGGCAUACCGCCAUACGCCACAUGGGCAGAAUACCACCUAAAACUAGACGCGCUAUAUACAAGACUACUCCGUGUACCUCUCCCUUCUCUGCUCCGGCCGGCUACGCCAUCGGAGAAGAUAGGGGAUCGGGCCGGGAACGGUUGCUCGCUCUCGACUCUCAAGGGGCUCUCUCGAAGGCUCCUCGGGUCUCCCCGUUCCUUUUUCCAUAA
rnacentral:rRNA from 1 species